rnacentral:tRNA from 1 species
GGCGGCGUAGCUCAGUCGGUCAGAGCACACGGCUCAUAAUCGUGGGGUCGCGGGUUCGAGUCCCGCCGCCGCUACCA